UACGUAGGUGGCAAGCGUUGUCCGGAUUUAUUGGGUUUAAAGGGUGCGUAGGCGGCCCGUUAAGUCAGUGGUGAAAGCCUCCAGCUCAACUGGAGAACUGCCAUUGAUACUGGCGGGCUUGAGUACAGACGAGGUUGGCGGAAUUGAUUGUGUAGCGGUGAAAUGCAUAGAUACAAUCAAGAACACCGAUUGCGUAGGCAGCUAACUAGGCUGUAACUGACGCUGAGGCACGAAAGCGUGGGGAGCGAACAGG
rnacentral:rRNA from 1 species